GAUGGUUACUCAGAGUAAAUCAGGAUGCUGUUACCCAAAGAAAGGAGAAUAGGUGUUGAACUGGAUGGCUGUCUGCUAACUUGUUAUUAGUCAUCUCCAAGACACAGCUUCUGUGUUGUUUUAGCCAAAACACCAUAGCCAGGUCUUUUCUGAUAAAAACAGUCCAGCCUGAUCCUGAUUCUGCACACCCAAGUCACAAGUCCAGGCAGAAGACUUCCAAAUCAAGGGAUGGCCGCAGACUUCUCCAACAGAUAAGCUGCGCAGACACGGCUUCUGCUACUUAACGUCCUCUCGGUAGCUCUCCACUGUGAUUUGCAAGGCUCGUAUUAGCCUGUCAGAAGGGAAGGAUUAACACGUAUUUUGAUUUCUGUUGAAAACACGUUGUUUCAGAAAUAAAGUUGGCAUGGCAGGCAUCUUGGUUGAUUUAAUCUCUGACACAGGAAGUUUAUUUAUAGCAUCACAGCCUUCUGAAUGUUUAAAAACUCAAGCAUUAUAAGCCUGCUGUGCUUUUCCUGCGAAGUAUGGAACGGCACUAAAUGAAUAAUGCCACCAGGGCCAGCAGCAGAGCCAGGAUCCAGAAUCAAACACGGCUUUCAUCUGCUCCUGGCUUUAAAAGAGGUAUCACUGUCUCCUGAUGGGAUCAGCAUUUUGGUAGAGUCACAACCAAAACGGGAGUCCAUCUUCACAGGUCCUUGCUUGUCUUUGACCUCUAACCACUGCACCAUCUGACCAUGCAACAUUUCCCUGCCCACACCUUACAAUCAGGGACUUGUCACAGAAAUUCAUUAUUACUUGCAAUCAUGUUUUAACAGGUAAGACCUAACUGAUAUCUUCUCUUGGUUGGUGGACUUCAAGGGUUAACAAUGUCAUCAAUCUUCAGGGCCUGGGUGGAUGGCAGGAUGCUUGGGGAGGGGUCAUUUUCUUGGUCCAUGAUAAGACUCAGGAUGUCUCAUCCAACG
rnacentral:lncRNA from 1 species